rnacentral:snoRNA from 1 species
CUGGAGAUGAUUCAAUAAAAACCAUCUGAGUUCCUGUGAAGGUGUUUGUAUUCAUACUGUCUGAUCCAG